rnacentral:snoRNA from 1 species
AAACCGUGGUGAGGACAUUCCCUAAUGUAGCCUUUAUAACGAUCCUAAGCUUCAUGAAAAGGUUCGCUCCUUUUUGUUGGAACCUAUAAAUCCUUCCUCUAAAAAA